AGGGAGAAUUGCUAGUUUGGUGAGAAAACUUAUCAAAGCGGGUCCGGGUGAGGAUUGGCAGUGUGGAAGAAGGAAAAAAGGCCAAGAUAUAAUACAUAAGAAGACAAGAGGAUUCACCAAAGAGGAUGAAAAGGAAAAGGAACAAGAACAUAUACACAUGUAAAUCAUGGCUAUAACAGAAUUCAAAUGAAACCUUGAAGUUAAUUUUGGAAAAGACAAUUUCAGGAAUUGGGACAGCUUAUAGAUGCAUUUCUCUUCAAGGUAGAAAAAAGUCAUCUUAAAUAUAUAAGUGGAGAUGCAAUAUCAUGAAGUUCAAAGUAAAGUGCAAAGCUGAAUAUCAUAAAAUCUCCAAACAAUGGUGAAGCCUUAAAAGUUGGAGAUAUGGCAUUAAACUUUUUCCUUAGAAAGUACCUUGAUGUCUGUUACUAGUAAUUUAGUUUCCCAUAUGAGGAGCAAUGUAGCUGGCUUGUCAGAGUGAUUUUCCUGAAGAUGAAAUUGGAAAUGAGAAUAUUCAUGUGUGUCUCCAUACUGGAAAUCCUCAAGAUUCAACCAAUUUCUAAGUGACUCAGUGAGGUCAUUAUUUAAGGAAGCUCUUAACAGCACACUAAUGAGCUCUACUUGAAGGAGUAGUACAGUAAGAGUGAUCUCCCCUUAGAAGACAGAUAGAAAAAAAAAAUGGUUGCUUUAAUACCAUUUAUUUCACAAUUUGUAAUACAUUUAAAUAUUUUUACUAGCAUUAUCUUAGACAAAGAAUAAGUAAUUGAUUAAUAUUCACAUUAAUUUUCCCAAUAGUCAACGACAGGGUUAUCUGUUCAUGAAUAAUUCAUAACAUUUUUCUUGUAGAAAUAAUGCAGGUACAUGUACUUGUUUAAAAUGAACUAAUAAUCUCAAAUGUGCAUACCUUUAUAUGAUAUUUUUUUCUUAAUUGAAAGUCUGCAGAUCACUUCUUGAUACAAAUGUAUUGUUUAGUGCUUCUUUAAAUUUCAUAUGAUAUGGUUUGCAAUUAAAAUACAUUGUAGUUGAUGAUUUUGAUAAAGGUUGAAAUAAAAAUUUCACAAGCUAACAGUACUUGUCUUAAUUGUAAUACUUUGUAGCCUUUUGUUCUAUCAUAUGUAGCAGCUAACUAUGUAAUUUUUUGUGUUUUGGAUUUUGUUUCAUGUUUAUAUAUUAUAAAAGCAUAUAAUUUAGAAAUUAUUAUGUAGCCUUAUUAGGGCCCCGCUCGGCUGGCGCCCUAUAGUGAUCAGUCUGUCCGUCCGUCAGUCCGUCCGAGAUCUCUUGUCCGGAGCAUAUCUUCUCUCCCUUUGGCCCAAUCUUGCUCAUACUUCACCCACAAAGUGCCCUUGGGUAACCGGUGUGCAGUGACCUUGAACCAUGUUUCUAGGUCAAAGGUCAAGGUCAUAGCAGAAUUGUGUGAAAAAUCCUUGUCCGGAGCAUAUCUUCUCUCUCCUUGGCCCAAACUGGCUCAUACUUCACCCACAG